GGUUAUGGCUCAGUGGUAGAGCGCUCGCCUUGUGCAUGCGAGACCCUGGGUUUGAGCCUCAGCACCA
rnacentral:tRNA from 1 species